CCCCCCCAAUCAACCACAUAAAAGAAAUACAUAAACAAAAGCAAACCCUAAAGAUUAAGAAAAGUUUUGAUUUUUAAGUUUUUUUUAAUACGAGUCUUUCAAACUCCCAUCUUGAAAUGGCAGAGAUACGCCCACCUGAGACCCAUCCAAACAACGGUGGCGGCGGCGGUAGCAGCGGAGGUGGAGGAGGGGCACUAACAUCAUCGGAAACUGUGGGUUCAAAGAGGCAGCGGAGGCCAAGUGUCCGAUUAGGCGAGAUAGGCGGCGGAGACCAGCUUUAUGAAUCCCAACACCACCGUAGAACUGCCAGCAACAGUAACAAGCAAUGGAAACAACAACAACAACAGAGUUUGGGUUUUAAAGAGGCAAGUAAAUCAUCAAAGACUCGAGCUUUAACGAAUUUAAGUGAGUUUAAUGAAAUCCUUGAUGGGGAUAAUGAUAUUAAUUUGGAUAGUGUUGCAAUUGGGAGUUGGAGAGUUAAUCAUUCUUCGAAAAAGAGAGGGUCUUUGAAUGUUAGUGCAAAGCGAGUUAGGUCUAACUGGGUGUCUAAAUUUGAUGAUAGUAGUGGUGGUGGUGGUGGUGGUAAUGGUGGUGAAGGGGAGGAGAAAUACAGUGGUGGUGAAGACGAGGAGGAGGAGGAGGAGGAGGAGGAGGAGGAUUGUAGAGAAUUUGAUGUUGAGAAUUCAGAGACUUUGUUGAAAGAACAAAGCCGAAUUCGUGAUCCACUUGAUAAUUUGGGAGAUGGGAAUGAGAGGAAUGGGAGGGAAGUGCAUUGCUAUAGGAGGGUAAUUAGGGGGAGGAAUGAUCGUAAUGUUAAUCAUGAUUAUCGUCAUGACGGUGUUGAUUUAUCAGGUCCAUCUGAUAAUGAUAUGAGAGAUUAUAGGAAUAUUGGGAGGUGUGGUGGUGGAGGGGAGGACGGAGUGAGGAUUUGGCUGAAUAGUUUAGGGUUAGGGAGAUACGCACCAGUUUUUGAGAUUCAUGAGGUGGAUGAUGAGGUUUUGCCAAAGUUGACAUUGGAGGAUUUGAAGGAUAUGGGGAUCAAUGCUGUUGGGUCUAGAAGGAAGAUGUUUUGUGCGAUUCAGAAGCUAGGAAAGGGGUUUUCUUGAUGUUUUUUGGUGAGCUUGUAGAGGUUUUUUUUUAAUGGAUAACUUUUCUCAGCCAUGGUAAUUAAGAUGCAUCAUGUCUGAAUUUAAUUUGACCUAUUUCGUUCCGUCUAUUAGAAAUAUCAGUACUUUUUGGUAUUAGUAGGAUGUUUUGGUUAGUAUUACUUUCUUGCCCUAUAUCAAUGCAUUUUUAAUUCAGUGCAAUAUUCUAUUACAUGGCCCUUGAGUUGAUUUGCUGAAGUAGUUGUGGCUGUUUUAAUGAGCCUGAAGCUAUAUCACUUCUUCAUUUGAUUCUUGGAGAAAUUCAUGAAAAGGAAAUUGCUUUAAAUAUUCUUAUGAAAAGAGUUCAAAAUCAAAGCAUAAGUCUUUUGCUUUACUUCAUUCCUUUUGAGAUUGAAAGCAGAUUAGUUGAAGUUCUAAGCCAAAAGUUGAAUGUGAAUAAUCAUACUUGCAAUUAGUGAAUGGAGAAAAACUGUAAUUCUUUAUGCAAUAUAAGCAUGUUGUUUGUAGUCCAUGAUGUUUGCAUAUUUUCUGUGUUUGUUCCUUUAUUCAUCUCUCGGGUGGUAUUGUCUUCUAAAACUCUUCAGUAACUUAUAUAAACCUGUUGUGAUUAGAGUCCAGAACUGGUUGCCAGUCCUCAACACUAGAAGAUUGACUUUCUAUUGAGCUCAGAGUUAGUGGUUUUUAGAAAUUGUCAGCAGGAAGUGCAACCUAUCUAAUGAGGUGUGGUCUGUGUUUCAACUUUUAAGGUCCGCUAAGGUUGCCAGAAGUUCUAGCUACCUUUUUGUGGUGUAUAGCAGUGCAGUUUUUAACACGCUAAGGUACUCUAAAGUUGUAUGUGGAAUACUUUGCGAACUGCGACUAGGAAAAAGUAAGUCAUUGCAUGAAUGAGGACUCAACUUGUGGAGUGGGUUCUGUAAGAGACAGAUGUUACAUUCAAGAAGAGUAUAUGUUGUUCAUAUUUUUGGAGAAUAGGGUUACUGGAUUGGUGAUCCAAUGCAUAGCGCCUUUAUUCAGAGCAUGUUGGUUACUUAAGAGGAAAUAUUAAGCCGAUUACAAAGAUUCGGAGAAGACCAGUUAAGCAACUCAGGUUAGGAUAUUCUUGAUCAAGAAUCGAUGUAGAGGUCUCAAGCUAACUGAACAGUGGUGAAGGGAUGCAUCCCUUUGGUGUCUGUUUCCCAGUAAAGGCGUACCGGUGAAAUUUGUUUUAGCAAGAGCUAUGCUAGAUGCACUCAAUUCUAAGCUAAUGCUAGCUAUACAUGUACCCUUCUUUUGUGGAAUAAAUUGAAUGAUAUACAGAUGCAUGCCAAAACCUAUCAUUUUAUGAUUAUUUUUGAUGUUGGGAAAGGGGAUAGAGUAUCAUUGUUGUUGGUUGAUGGAGAGAAAUCUUGGAGCAUUCUAAAGGCUGCAUUACAUGUCUCUUAAUGAAUAAUAUUGUUUCUUUUCCAUUGUUCC